GGCACGCCUAAUACAUGCAAGUCGAACGAAGUAGCAAUACUUAGUGGCAGACGGGUGAGUAACAUGUGGGUAUCUUCCCUUUGGUGAGGAAUAACACGAGGAAACUUGUGCUAAUACCUCAUAAGUCUUUACGGAGAAAGCUUUAUGCGCCAAUGGAUGAGCCCGCACUUGAUUAGUUUGUUGGUGGGGUAAUGGCCUACCAAGACAAUGAUCAAUAGCUGAUUUGAGAGGAUGAUCAGCCACAUUGGGACUGAGACACGGCCCAAACUCCUACGGGAGGCAGCAGUAGGGAAUCUUGCACAAUGGAGGAAACUCUGAUGCAGCGAUGCCGCGUGAGUGAAGAAGGCCCUUGGGUUGUAAAGCUCUUUCGUCGGGGAAGAAAAUGACUGUACCCGAAUAAGAAGGUCCGGCUAACUUCGUGCCAGCAGCCGCGGUAAUACGAAGGGACCUAGCGUAGUUCGGAAUUACUGGGCUUAAAGAGUUCGUAGGUGGUUAAAAAAGUUGGUGGUGAAAGCCCAGAGCUUAACUCUGGAACUGCCAUCAAAACUUUUUAGCUAGAGUAUGAUAGAGGAAAGCAGAAUUUCUAGUGUAGAGGUGAAAUUCGUAGAUAUUAGAAAGAAUACCAAUUGCGAAGGCAGCUUUCUGGAUCAUUACUGACACUGAGGAACGAAAGCAUGGGUAGCGAAGAGGAUUAGAUACCCUCGUAGUCCAUGCUGUAAACGAUGUGUGUUAGAUGUUGGAAAUUUAUUUUCAGUAUCGCAGCGAAAGCAAUAAACACACCGCCUGGGGAGUAC
rnacentral:rRNA from 1 species